UAACACUUUUGGGUUCCUAACAGGGUUCGUCAUCAGCAAGGUCAUUAGGUCAUCAGGAAGAACAUGCAUAAAAAAAAAAAAAAAUUGAACAAUCCAGAAUCAGGCAUGUUCUUCCUGGGAAUUUGUUUGAUGCAUGAAUAGAUUCGUCGGAGGCUCGGCGAAGAACACCGCCUUUGAUAAGUUUUUUUUUUUUUUCCUACUUUGAGUUGAUUUUAGCAAAGAACACCUCAACCAGCUCCGUCUUUACCUUCUAAAUGUGAAGAUAGUUUAUGCUUGAAUAUGCUCAAGUUUUAUAUUAGGUCAUUAUCAAUCAAAAAAAUGUAAUACCCAUUGCUUACUGGUUACAAAGGGUUCAGUUCAGUUAUGAGUUUUCUUUAUUCCAUAUGCUGUCGUGAUUGCUAGUUGCUAAUUUAACGCAUUUUUAUGGUUCGAUACUUCGAUCUUAAUUUCAGGCUCAGAAAUCAUUGAUGUUGAACAGCAGCAGAGGAGCAAUAGUGACAGCUUUUUGGAGCUCCUACAGAUUGGGACCAGAUGCAGAGAGUUGCUACUGGAAUCAAUGCUUUGAAUUGUGAUUUUGUGGGGAGCAAGACGGAAGUGGGUCAGUUUAUUUGUGCUUAAAGGAAGGAACUUUUUUGGUGUUGGAGGCAUUUAGGAUUUUGGGUGAGUUGUUAUUUGAUAGUGAGCUUGGAGAGUUUGGAGAGGGUGAUGUGGUAGAGAAGCUGAUAUAUCAGAUAUGCAAGAACCCUCAUCCAAAUAUUGUUGUUUUAACUGUUGCAGCAGGUUUGUUCAACAAAAGUUAGGAGGGCUAUCUGUGCGUCUUGAUAUGAAAAGAUGCAGGCUGAUUUAUCAUUUGCGGAUGGAGCAUGACCAAACGUUUCACAGUUUACCAAAAGAGCAGCGCAGAGAAGAGAUUUUGGUUUCACUGCCUACUGCAGUACAUAACUUGGAUAGGUUUCUGUGAAUAAUCCUUAAACUCGCAACAGUAAUUGGUCUUCAAGAGUUGCCGGCAAUUCUCUAUAUACUAAAGCUCCUGUACUGUUCCUAAGCACGAUUCCUAUCAACAGUAAAAUGCGCUUUUGUCCAUGAGGUUUAUGUUAUGUAGUGAGAAAAGGGUCGGUGUAUUUGCGCGUUCGGGAAACCUCCAUCGACUGUAGCUAUCAAGCUGUGAGAUACAGGCGUAGAAGCGUAGCAUCGACUGUCCGAUAGAAGCGUAGCAUCGCAUUGAUCAGGUUCUGAGAUACAAAGGUUGCACUGAAAACAAGUGGGAGAGGUUUGGUUUUCAAAGUUUAUUUACCAAAUUUGGGAUUUUGAAUUGUUGAUUUGAUGUCA